CAGGUAAUGGUUGGUUCUAUAUCGGAGGGUGCAUCGUAACUCCUCCCCCUUACGGAAAAGGUCCCUUAGCCCACUUGACUCUAGCAUCUACCAUCAGGCUCUUCUACAGAUACGGAGACAGUUCCACCGGAGGGGGAGUAUAUAGAGGAACACAGGGGUCUGUACAAGGACGUGAUGAUGGAGAAUCACCGGCCCCUCACAUCACUGGGUAAG